rnacentral:rRNA from 1 species
GGAAAUCUCACCAGGCCCGGACACUGGAAGGAUUGACAGAUUGAUAGCUCUUUCUUGUUAGCAAUAACAGGUCUGUGAUGCCCUUCUUAGUUGGUGGAGUGAUUUGUCUGGUUAAUUCCGUUAACGAACGAGACCUUAACCUGCUAACUAGUUUGUAUUCUCACAGAGUGCAAUACUUCUUAGAGGGACUAUAUGUGUCAAGCAUAUGGAAGUUUGAGGCAAUAA